UACGUAGGGGGCAAGCGUUGUCCGGAUUUAUUGGGCGUAAAGAGCGUGUAGGCGGCCAGGUAGGUCCGUUGUGAAAACUCGAGGCUCAACCUCGAGACGUCGAUGGAAACCAUUUGGCUAGAGUCCGGAAGAGGAGAGUGGGAUUCCUGGUGUAGCGGUGAAAUGCGCAGAUAUCAGGAAGAACACCCGUGGCGAAGGCGGCUCUCUGGGACGGUACUGACGCUGAGACGCGAAAGCGUGGGGAGCGAACAGG
rnacentral:rRNA from 1 species